GGGCAGUUAUCUCAGUUGGUUAGAGAGCAUGGUUUACACCCAUGAUGUCGGGGGUCCGAGUCCCUCACUGCCCACCA
rnacentral:tRNA from 2 species